GGGAAGUACAGUCUGAGUUAGAAGGAUUUGAUUUGAAGCGCAAGAUUCAAUAAUUCUUUUCAUUAGUCUUCCUUGAAACAGUUUCAACUGGGUAUAUUAUUCACUUUCUGUCCUGACAAGUGCUGUGAAACAGCUGACGUGUUCCUCCUUGCCAUGGGAGCUGCAUAUGUAGAGUGCACCCUUGCCGCUGACCCCACCAUGGCCACCUGCAGGAGCUCCUCACUUGGCCCACCACCGACACUGCUGCGGCUGCCUGUGGGAGCUCUCCACUCAGCCCGACCCCACUACCAACACCGCUGCAGCUGCCUGCGGGAGCUCCCUGCUCAGCCUACCACCGCCGCCGACACCACUGCAGCUGCCUGUGGGAGCUCCCUGCCCCCGUCGCCGACACUGAUGCCGCCACCUACUGAAGCUCACUGUCCUGUAUUCUUGAGGUACCUCGAUGGCCACCCUACAUACAGCACCGGCAUCCCAGCUCCCCUGUUUGGCAAGCAGUUCCCCACUCUGCUAUCAUGCACAUUAGAAGCAGCCCAGCUCCCCACCACCAUGCAUGCGUAGCCCAGUCUCCUCCCCCACUGCGUGUGCAACAUGGACACCCCAGCCCCCUCCUGGAGUAUCACCCCACCCACAGGAGUGGGGGCAGGUAGCAGAAGCUAGGUUGCAAAGGGGGAGCUCAAAGACCCCAGCUGCUGCUGCAUCAAAGUCAAGGAGGGGAGCAGUGGCUGGACAGGAGUCCACAGGCAACAUGUUAGCCCAUCAUGAGCCACAUGUCACUUCCAGGCCACCAAUUGGACAGCCCUGACCUAAUUCAUGAUACUCAUCUUACAAUUCUUGCCAAUUUCUCCAACAAGUUCAAAAGAAUAUAUGGAUAUGUAUAUCUGCUCAUCAAACAGCACUUGGCAGGAUAAUUGGUUCAGUAACAAAGCACAUUGGGUUCCUAUUUCCAAUACUAACUGUUUUUUAAAUAGUUAUCUCUACCUCAAAGUCCUUUAAGUUUCUUUGGUCUAAUUUUCUUCCCUCCCUCACUUUCAAGGUGUCAUUCCUCAUUUAUACCAUUGCAAGAAGAAAAUAAGAUGUUAUUUGUCUGAUGGCUUAGCAUUUUUUGUUUCCUCCAAAAGGGAGUAUUUUAGUUUUUUAACCCAUUCUGCAUUUACAGAUACCAGUUUGCCUGAGGACUUUUGCAUUUUUUUUCUUCGUGCAAAAUGAUUGGUUAGGAAAUAUUGCAAGUACCUUUGAAUAUUGACACUUUACACUCCAGUGUUUUAACAUAGCACUUCUACGAUUUAAUGCAUUUCUGUGGAUAGGUGGCUUGAGUUUAUCCCUGAGCAUUACAUUAAUCAGAAUUUGAGAGAGGCGAAUCCAGAACAUGCAUAAUAAAUGUUUCAGUUUUG